AACUAUAACCAUCCUAAGGUAGCGAAAUUCCUUGUCGGGUAAGUUCCGACCUGCACGAAUGGCGUAACGACUUCCCCACUGUCUCGACCAGGAGCUCGGCGAAAUUGCAGUACGAGUAAAGAUGCUCGUUAAGCGCAGAAGGACGAAAAGACCCCGGGACCUUUACUAUACCUUGGUAUUGGCAUUCGGUGUGGAUUGUGUAGCAUAGGCGGAAGGCUUCGAAGCCACGGCGCCAGCCGCGGUGGAGCCGCAAGGUGAAAUACCGCUCUGUUCGCAUUGGAUGUCUAACCUCGACCAGUCAUCCUGGUCAGGGACAGUGCCUGGCGGGUAGUUUAACUGGGGCGGUUGCCUCCCAAAGAGUAACGGAGGCGCUCAAAGGUUCCCUCAGCCCGGUUGGCAAUCGGGUGGCGAGUGUAAGUGCACAAGGGAGCUUGACUGCGAGACUGACGGGUCGAGCAGGGACGAAAGUCGGAACUAGUGAUCCGGUGCCGGUGUACGGACGCGGCAUCGCUCAACGGAUAAAAGGUACCCCGGGGAUAACAGGCUGAUCAUUCCCAAGAGUCCAUAUCGACGGGAUGGUUUGGCACCUCGAUGUCGGCUCGUCGCAUCCUGGGGCUGGAGCAGGUCCCAAGGGUUCGGCUGUUCGCCGAUUAAAGCGGCACGCGAGCUGGGUUCAGAACGUCGUGAGACAGUUUGGUCUCUAUCCUCUGCGCUCGUCGGAAUGUUGAGGAGGCCUGCCCAUAGUACGAGAGGACCUGGGUGGACGAACCUCUGGUAUGCCGGUUGUCACGCCAGUGGCACGGCCGGUUGGCUACGUUCGGAAGGGAUAACCGCUGAAAGCAUCUAAGCGGGAAGCCUGCUCCAAGAUAAGCAUUCCAUAGGACUACGGGUCCUUGAAGUCCCCAUGCAGAACACGUGGUUGAUAGGCCGGACGUGGAAGCCCCGCGAGGGGUGGAGCCGACCGGUACUAACGGACGAAAGGCAACACAAC
rnacentral:rRNA from 1 species